rnacentral:rRNA from 1 species
AGUGAACGCUAGCGGUGCGCCUAACACAUGCAAGUCGAGCGCCCUGCACCAUCGGGAUGCGUUGCGAAAGUUAUUCACUUUCAUAGCGUAAUCUCGCGUCCCUAUGGUGCAGGGAGCGGCGAACGGCUGCGUAACACGUUGGAACCUGCCCCGAACUCAGGGAUAACCCGCCGAAAGGCGGACUAAUACCGGAUAGCCUCGGCGGAGUAAAGAUUUUUCGGUUCGGGAGGGGCCUGCGGCCUAUCAGCUUGUUGGUAAGGUAAAAGCUUACCAAGGCUAUGACGGGUAGCUGAUCUGAGAGGAUGAUCAGCCAGAAUGGGACUGAGACACGGCCCAUACUCCUACGGGAGGCAGCAGUGAGGAAUCUUCCGCAAUGGGGGCAACCCUGACGGAGCGACACCGCGUGAAGGAUGAAGGCCUUUCCGGUCGUAAACUCCUGUCCUGAGGGACGAAAUUUUUGACGGUACCUCAGAAGAAAGCACCGGCUAAAUACGUGCCAGCAGCCGCGGUAAUACGUAUGGUGCAAGCGUUACUCGGAAUUACUGGGCGUAAAGCGUCCGCAGCCGUCUUUUUAAGUCUGGCGUAAAAUUUUGGAGCUCAACUCCGAACGCGUGCCGGAAACUAUUAAGAUUGAGUCAUACAGAGGCAACUGGAAUUCCAUGUGUAGGGGUAAAAUCCGUUGAUCCAUGGAGGAACGCCGAAAGCGAAAGCAGGUUGCUGGGUAUGUACUGACGGUCAGGGACGAAAGCGUGGGGAGCAAAGGGGAUUAGAUACCCCCGUAGUCCACGCCGUAAACGAUGUGUGCUCGGUGUGGGAAUUUUCAAUUGAUUUCCGUGCCCUAAGCUAACGCGGUAAGCACACCGCCUGGGGAGUACGGUCGCAAGACUAAAACUCAAAGGAAUAGACGGGGACCCACACAAGCGGUGGAGCAUGGGGUUUAAUUCGAUGAUAAGCGGAGCACCUCACCCAGGUUUGACAUCCCGAGAACGAUCCAGAAAUGGAUAAGUGUCGUAAGGAACUCGGUGACAGGUGGUGCACGGUCGUCGUCAGCUCGUGCCUUGAGGUGUACUGUUAAGUCAGCAAACGAGCGCAACCCUCAUCCUAUGUUGUUUUUUCAUGGGAGACUGCCGCCUCCAAGGCGGAGGAAGGUGGGGAUGACGUCAGAUCUGCGUGUCCCUUAUGCCUGGGGCAACACCCGUGCUACAAUGGCCGAUACAAAGGGCAGCCAACCCGCGAGGGGGAGCCAAUCCCAUCAAAAUCGGUCCAAGUUCGGAUUGAAGUCUGCAACUCGACUUCAUGAAGUUGGAAUCGCUAGUAACCGUGAAUCAGCUACGUCACGGUGAAUAUGUUCCUGGGUCUUGUACUCACCGCCCGUCAAGUCAUGAAAGGCAGGGGCGCCCGAAGGACCGUUACUCUACGGAGGCGGUACCACGGUGAAACUGCUGAUUGGGACU